rnacentral:rRNA from 1 species
UACGGAGGGUGCAAGCGUUAUCCGGAUUCACUGGGUUUAAAGGGUGCGUAGGUGGGCAGGUAAGUCAGUGGUGAAAUCUCCGGGCUUAACUCGGAAACUGCCAUUGAUACUAUCUGUCUUGAAUACCGUGGAGGUCAGCGGAAUAUGUCAUGUAGCGGUGAAAUGCUUAGAUAUGACAUAGAACACCAAUUGCGAAGGCAGCUGGCUACACGAAUAUUGACACUCAGGCACGAAAGCGUGGGGAUCAAACAGG